GGCAAGAUGGCCGAGUGGUCUAAGGCGCUGCACUCAAGGACCCUUCACCUCCUUCUUCAGAUCUUCUAAAGUCUGAGGAGCAUUGCAGUCACGCAAGUGGCGUGGGUUCGAAUCCCACUCUUGUCA
rnacentral:tRNA from 1 species